rnacentral:rRNA from 1 species
GACGCACCGUGCGAACGUUAUUCGGAAUCACUGGGCUUAAAGGGCGCGUAGGCGGGCGACCAAGUCAGGGGUGAAAUCGUUCGGCCCAACCGGACAAGGGCCCCUGAUACUGGUUGUCUCGAGGGAGGUAGGGGUCGAUGGAACUUCCGGUGGAGCGGUGAAAUGCGUAGAUAUCGGAAGGAACGCCGGUGGCGAAAGCGGGUCUCUGGGCCGAUACUGACGCUGAGGAGCGAAAGCGUGGGGAGCGAACAGG